AGAAGGGGGGGAGGGAAAGAGAUGCAGUGGGGGGUAGGCAGAAAAGAGGAAUUAAAAGGAAAUUAUUUUGGCUCAUCCCGAAAAGUUUUUUUUAAAAAAAUUAGUUUUCUCUGUGUCUCUUUGGUUUCCCUUCCUUUCCUGCCUAAACACCCUGUUUAGGAAUUGCAGGGCUUGGAUUGGAUUCCAUUGUUUAAUGGCUGGAAGUAGAUGGCUAAGGAGAAUCCAUAAGGGAAUAUUUGAAAUGUAUAUGGUAUUACAAGAAACAAUUCUGCGUGAGUUCAAGAUUGUGAUUCUACAGAGAAAUAGCUGAACAAUGGACCUUCAUUUUGAUUUUCAGGCUGUGCUUUGCCAGUUUCCUGUUCCCACUGAUCAUUGGCAGGGAACCUAUAAAAAUGGCCAGCAGGAAAUCACCUGCAUCCUCCCUUUGGUUUAUCAAAAACCUCUGUGUAAUAUUAAUUCAGAUAAGCUAAAGAUCAGUCUAUGGUUCACGGGUGAAAUCAUCUUUAAUGACAAUUCCAGGGAUUCAAUGGCAUUCUUCUUUCCAAAUAUUAAGCAGGCCCUGUUCUGCUUAUCUUUUGAUCCCAGAGAAAGUUGGCCAGAUGCUGCACCUGCUGAGAGCCCAGGGACAAAGGUGAAUUAAAAAUUAGCAAUAUGGAAGAUACUAAAAAGGGCACUGCUGGGGUUUGGUUCAGAAAAAGCCAAAGGUCUGAAGCAUCACUGACAGGAUACCUCAAGGCUGGCAUUGCUUAAGACUGUCCACUGUCUACUGUGAUCUAAGAAUAAUUGAAGUUGUGAACCAAAAUGUAUCUGAAAGCAGUCAGCAGGAAGGUUUCCGAAUGAUAGAAUGAUGGGUGAUAGAAAACAGAAAUGCCAGCAACAACAGGCAGUGCUUCUCACAACAAUAAAAAAGUUCCAAAAGUUUUGAGAAGUCAGAAGAAAUCUGAAAGGAAUUAGUGAUCCUAAAAAUAUGUUAGAAAACCAGAAGCUUGAUUUACAGAGGAAUAAAAAUAUUGAGAAAUUACAAGCAGCCGUUACUAAAAGGAGUUCCAUAAUCUUUUCCCAGGCACUUGGAUAAAGUUUCAUGUUUUCCAUAAUAACAACAACAAUUAAAAAAAAAUGAAGCUGGUACACGCAUUGGACCAUGGAAAGUACACAUGGGUCAGAAUCAGCUGACCCAAGAAUGAAGACGGCCAUGCUGGUUGACUCAGCCUUCCAUCCUUCUGAGAUACCCUGUAGUCUGCUCGCCUGUCAAGGGGAUGUGGAAAUGUGCUGGCAUUCCAGCUGAAGACAUCAUUAUGAGUGAGAAAAUGCUCAAGGCCUUUUUUCAAAGUGGGCACUGAAAGAGAUGCUUUCCUUCUUUAACUCCAGGGGAUGCUAAGAGCUGCUCCAACAGACAGGUAUUGUAAGUUUUUAUCUGAAACACAUCUAAGUCCCAACAGUGCUUUUUGUUCAGCUCUGAAGAAGCUUCUUGGAUGAGAAGUGAAACAUCUUCAAAGAAAAAACAGAAAGUCUAAUUGCCUCUUGAAAAAGCACCAUUGGGAUAACCAUGACAAGGAUGACUGAGAAUCUCUGUAGACAAACACAUCUAAGGAAUUAAAAUAUUGCACUCAAGACAAUGAAUACAAUUUAACACUCUUCUUCCUUUUAUCAUCAAAAUGACCUCCCCCUAAGAUUCUUUAAACUAAGAGAGAUAAGUAUUGCUGUCAUCUAUGUCAUCUAACAAGCACAUUCUGUUGUCCCAACAUUUCAUUUAGUGGAAUCAAACUUGAAGAACAAAUAAAGAUAUCAGAUAUGAAGUAUAACUAAAAGGCAGUGAUGAAAGAACAGCAAGACUAUUGCAUCUUUUCAGCUUUGGAUUCAGUGAUACUAUAAAUGACAAGUGCUCUGCUCUUAACAUUUAUUUCUGUAAUUUAAAGCAACAGAAUGUAAAAAAAAGUAUGUCUGAUUCAGUGGUCAUAUAUAUGCUUCCCAAAAUAUAUACACUUUAUUGAAUAAGAUGUUAUUGUUAGUUAAUGUUGCUAUUUAAUGACUUGCCCAAUUGCAAAUGAAAUACGGUUGUUUUUACAAUCCAGGUAUCAGGAUCUUAAUCUUGGCCAGUGAGGAAUUAACAAUGCAUGACUUGAAAUAGGAAAUGAACUGGGAGUUUCUCAAUAGAUCACAGAAUCAUGCAUGAACUAUUGAUAUAAGUCAAAUAAAACAAAAAUAACAAUAUCAUUGUUAUUGGACCAAUGUCAUUUGGUCUUAUAUUAUGUUUUGCUCCAUUAUACAGAAUACUGGAUCUUGAAUAACUUCUUGCCUGAUUUGUAGACCAAUACAAAUCCACCAAAAAGCUGCCAAAUAUUUCAAAUUCCUUUUAUAGUUGUGAUUUAAUGUUUUCCUAUUAAAUACGUUUUCACCACAAAAUGAGAAUAAAUAUUCCAGAAAACAAAGAAGCAAAUAUAUUUAUGUUUAAGAAAGUUUGCUGUAUAUUGCAGAAAGUUUUAAAUCGAAUUGCUUUCAUAAUCUUGCAAUAAAAGGUGGGAAAACACUAGAAUGCUUGAGAAGUUUGCCACAUAUAUGAAAAUUAAAAUGAGAAAAAUAACAGUCAAUUAUAUUAAAUAUCAAGUGGUUAUAUGUUUAUUUUAAAAAAUCAAUUUUCAAGGCACUUCAGUUGGAUAUAGGCAUGCAUUUAUGUAAAGAUGCAUAUCUGUGUGUAUGUAUGCAUGUAUGUAGGUGUGUGUGUAUGUAUGUAUAAAUUGCAAAUGAAAAUUCAAAAGCUAUAUUUAUCAAGAAAAUCAAUGAAAGCAAAUCAGAAUCAACAGAAAUACUUGUCACAUAGUAAAGACAUAUUUCAGCAUCACUUUCAGUAAUCCUACAAUACAGAAGGUUAACAUGUCUUCUUCUGAAUGGGUUGGGAUAUCAUUUCUACAAUUCCCAACCAACAUGGAACAGUUUUGCCUGAUUUACAAUUUAUCACUGCAAUUGUUGAGAUUUGUUUGAAAGUACAAACUUCUUAACUAUGCCAGUUUAUGAUCCCAGCAAAAGAUGGCAUUUCUCAUUAACACAUAUUUAAUAGUAAAACAAUGUAUUAUGUAA